rnacentral:lncRNA from 1 species
CCCCUUCCAAGAUAUACUGUACAAUGUUCCAUCAGAAAGUCCAAGCAGCAUAUGUUUGCUAUCACUAACAAUAUUGCUCAACGACAAAUCCUUUGCUGCAAAAGGAACUUGCUCAGUAAGAAGAAGAGAUAUAGUUGCUAGGGACAAAGCAGAAGGUUGUUUCCCACCAAUGUGUAUUUUUGUAUGGAAUCAAAUGUAAUGAAAUAAAAUUGAAAUGGAUUAACAAAAUGGUUUGAAGUUGGUUUCACAAUUGGUUUUUUGUUUAUGACUUGAGUGCUUGACUUUUGAAAAAUAACUUGACCGAUAAUGCACGUGAACAAAGCCAUGAAAUGAGACCAUAAGGUCAGGGUUUUGACAUAGUAUCCAUGGACCAAUAACUUGACUGGCAAGUGGCUAGAAACACAAGAAACUUGGUUGUUCAGAUGAUCAAGACCAUAUGUGCAUUAACAAUCACAUGAACAACACCAUGACUUUGGAUCAAAACCAAUCCUCAUGUAAAACCAAAGUUAGGUUAGGCCAAGCAUGCCAAACAAACAUAAAAAAUUCAGGAGCAAAAUCGGGGUAUGACAGUAAAACCAAAGUUAGGUUAGGCCAAGCAUGCCAAACAAACAUAAAAAAUUCAGGAGCAAAAUCGGGGUAUGACAGUUGCCCCUAUUUAAGCGUCUUCAACUAGAGAAUAUGAAGCAGGACGUUCUUCACAUGAUCGUAGUGGGAGAUGGUUAAAUACUAAGAAGACCCGGAUUUUGAUCAUGAAUCCCUAUGAAACAAUGCGUGUCAGCAUCGUCAAAGAAGCAAUCUCAAAAGAAAAAUCCGUCUGAUACGGUGAAAAUCGGCCUGAGUACCGAAACAGAAAGUUGACCUGGAUACCAAAAUAAAUGGUAACGUAGGAAUACCCAUGGCCUGAACGCCACACAUUAGUCUGAACACUAAGCAUUGGAAUAUGAGAGUAUCAAUGUUGGUCUGAUCACCGAAAAUCUGGUCUGAACACCACAAGUUCUUCGUCCUGAUUGUUGAGAACUUCUUCGAUCUGGAAAUCGGAAACUGGCCUGAAUGCCACUUCGGUCUGGAUACCGGGAACUGGCCUGAAUGCCACUUCGGUCUGUGCAAAGCUCCAGCUGUUUGAUUUCAGAAUUUUUUGGAAUAAUGUGAUUGGGCAUAGGAACCUUUAGGAGGUCUUUAGGCGAAACACCAUUCUCUAAAGAAUGUGGAAAUUGAGAAUUAUCAAAGCUAGCAGAAGGAUUUGGAUCAAAUUGAAAAGCUCCAUAGAACUGUGUAGGAGAUCAUAAAAUAAAAUGAGUAAUAUUGUUAUACAUCAAAACAAAAAUGAAUGCUGUAAACUCAGUUGAAUAUUUUGUGUAAAUCAGUGACCAAUUAACCAAAGAAAAUAAGUUCAAUUGGGAUGAAAUGUCCGAAAUUGGUGGUGCUCUAUGUUUAAAUUACCUCCCCCUUCCAAGAUAUACUGUACAAUGUUCCAUCAGAAAGUCCAAGCAGCAUAUGUUUGCUAUCACUAACAAUAUUGCUCCUGACAAAACAGUUGUAUAAAGAGUAGUGUCAAGAUCAUGUAGCAAAUGGCUUCAACUUUUGAUUACUACAUACAGAGUGAAGUGUAAAAUUUUGACACUUUUCAGAAAGUAUUGAGUAAUGGCAGUAUCAUGAGUUCAAUAUAGCAUAUUGCUUUAGAUAAUGCCAAUGGGUUAAAAGAAAUCGUGUAGACAUUCAAUUGUCACAAUAACUAAUGUCCCAUAUGGAUGCAGACUUCUAUAAGGAACAUAUCUUCGGAGCUAAUAUAAUAUUUCUUCAACUUUUGAUUUAUAAUAUACCUAACUCCUCUAUUCCUCAUUGCAUUUCUUAGGUAACUAGCAUGGUGGAACCAAAUUUUACGAAAAGUGAUAUGUAUAAAAUAAAUGCUGUUUUACUUAACACUCUAAGUUUUCGGGUAUUUGAUGCAUAACAGUUUAUCGAAGCCCCUAUGAACAAGUAAGUGGCUAAGAGUUCAAUACUUUAGAUCCUCAUUCCUCUAAUUAAAAGUUGUGUUUCAGCACAAGGUGGGCUGGUAUAUGCGUUGUCCAUGCUUUAAACUCAAAGGACUCAUGCUAGAGGGGGGUAUGUUGGACAUAAAUAACAUACAAACAUUAAUAUGUCUUCAUCUAGAAGCUAGGAUGGUUGGUUCAUGCCAGUAACCAAGAAAUCAAUCAACAUAUCUUUCAUCAAAAGAAAAAUAUAAUAUCCCGUGUAUACCAUACUUACAACAACAACAACCAAGUCUUAUCCCCAUAAGUGGCGUUGGCUGCAUAGAUCAACUUCCGCCAUAAUGUUCUAUCCAGGACCAUGCUUCUAUCAAACUCGUUAAUCUCGAGAACUUUCUUAAUAACUUCUCUUAUAGUUUUUCUAAGUCUUCCUCUACCUCUAGUUGUUUGACUCCUCUCCAUCUGAACUACUCUCCUUAUCAUAUAAUCUACAUGUCUUUUUCUACAUGCCCAAACCACCUAAGUCUAUUUUCCACCAUCUGCAUGCCCAUACUUAUAAAUACAAAAUCUUAUUCCACUAUAGGGCUCCAAUUCAUAUUCCAUAGUCCAUACCAAUAGUAGUUUUGUUCAAUUGCAUUAAUUCACAUAGAGAAAAGAAGUUUCAAAAACAAUACUAGCAAGAAACCUACAACGACAAAUCCUUUGCUGCAAAAGGAACUUGCUCAGUAAGAAGAAGAGAUAUAGUUGCUAGGGACAAAGCAGAAGGUUGUUUCCCACCAAUGUGUAUUUUUUUAUCCAAGAAUUGGACCUUGAAAAUGUGAAGAUAGAAAGAAGAUG